rnacentral:tRNA from 1 species
CAAGGCAGGGGAUUUGUGA